AUUGAACGCUGGCGGCAGGCCUAACACAUGCAAGUCGAGCGAGCGGCGGACGGGUGAGUAAUGUCUGGGAAACUGCCUGAUGGAGGGGGAUAACUACUGGAAACGGUAGCUAAUACCGCAUACCAUCAGAUGUGCCCAGAUGGGAUUAGCGAGUAGGUGGGGUAAUGGCUCACCUAGGCGACGAGCCCUAGCGGGUCUGAGAGGAUGACCAGCCACACUGGAACUGAGACACGGUCCAGACGCCUACGGGAGGCAGCAGUGGGGAAUAUUGCGCAAUGGACGAAAGCCUGAUGGAGCAAUGCCGCGUGAGUGAAGAAGGCCUUCGGAUUGGAAAGCUCUGUCGGCAGAGAAGCGUUACUUACCCAGGAAGCACCGGCUAACUCCGUGCCAGCAGCCGCGGUAAUAC
rnacentral:rRNA from 1 species